GAAAUAAAAGCGUUCUAACAUCUCACCUGCUUGUUUUUAUUAAGGUAUGUACACGUAUGUACAUGUACACUAUUUUUAUUAAUAGAGGUUUCACUACUGAGGUUAAAGAAACUCCAGCAGCUGUCUAUAGUAUUGAGUGUCCACUAGAAUAGAAAUAAAAGCGUUCUAACAUCUCACCUGCUUGUUUUUAUUAAGGUAUGUACACGUAUGUACAUGUACACUAUUUUUAUUAAUAGAGGUUUCACUACUGAGGUUAAAAAUGAUAUAUAAGUCACUUAGAUCACUUCUAAAUGUUAAUGUUUGGUUUAUUUCAGUGUUUUAUUUGUUCCUGAGUAAACCGGUUUGGCUGUGAUUAAAGUUAAGCUUCAUAACAUGUUACUCACAGUUAAAUUAGGAGGGGACGGCAGUAAAAACUCCGGACCUGUGACAUCAUCACGUACGCAGGUGUUCCAAUUGUACAUAUCGCGAGUCCGUGCUCGCGUUCUCGGCGGGUACGUACUCACCGAGAACGCGAGUACGUACUCGCAUACUUGGGCAUUGAUAAACGGCCACAUGUUUUGGUUCGUGCAACUGGUCCGUCGGGUUAUUGUCUCCCCAGAAACAUUUCCGUUGUGUCUUGUGUGCUUUUGCAGCGUUUUUCUUUUUGCAAGUGUUUUCUGAAGCUGCAGUCCGUUUGCCUCUCAGGGCCACCGUAGUAAAGCACUUUGAAUCACCUUGCUGUUGAAUUGUGCUAUAUAAAUAAACUUGCCUUACCUUUACACGGAUAUGAACAGAACUGUUCACCCUGCUGUCCGCUGAGCGGCGCUGCAGUCUGUGGGCGGAGCUACAAGCUGUGUUUCCGGUUCCGGCCUCCUGGUGUUUUGUUGUGUUGUUCGUCGUCCUGUGGCAGCAGUUUGAUUCUCCUCUCCCGCUCUUUGUCGCUCUUUACCCCCUCACAUGUUCCGUGCUCCGGACAAACAUCAGCGGAGUCCCGGAGCUCCACGGCCGGCUGGGAGGUUCUCUUCCCCGGCGUCCGGCUGGGGCUUCCCCCGUUCCCCAUACGGAGGCUCCCCGCGGGGCUACUCCCCCUACUCUCCGGGAUCUCCAAGCUACUCUCCGGGUUCUAAUCGAGGAUACAGAGACGGAUCUCCAGCCGGGUUCGGAAACGGUUCCCGGAGGUUCGGAGAUUCUCCGGCCGGGUUCAGCAGCGGCACGCAGGGGUUCGGGGGUCCGAUGCGGCGCAGAGGGGACGGUUUCCGGCGGCCUCAGUCCUUCAGUCCAACUUCAGCUCCGAACUUCAAGUCUUCAGAUGCGCCCGUGCAGAAGUACUUCAGCCCGUCUAUGGUGCAGGAUCCAUGGAAAAAUCUGCAGCCCGUCACCACCAUGGAUGCCGCUGCGGCCAGGCGGAUCACAUGACUGGAAAUAACACAAGUGGUGACCACAUGACAUCACCAGCAAUGAUCAAUAACUGUGAUGAGACGAACUGAAGUUUUUAGUCAGAUGUUUUAACCUUUUUAAAAAUUGUUUUUUAAACUGUUUGUGAAAAGAAGUUUUACGUUUUUAAAAUAUAAAAAGUUUAAAUUUUGCUUCAAAUCGUCAUUUGUUCUUUAAGCUCCCUUUUACUUUGAAAAGAAGAGGAAAAUGUGAUCCGCAUCGACUGUGCUCUGCACAGAAAUUUUACAUGUUGGAAUGUUUUCUCAGUGCUUACUUUUCAGUUCCCACAUUAGUGUGCAGAAAUACAAGCUGGUCGACAUGCUCGGCUGUCAGGACUAGGGCAGGGCAAUAUGGCCAAAAAUAUUUAUCACUAUAUAUAUUUGGAAAUUUGUG
ensembl:lncRNA